GGGGGUGAACUGGAUUCGACGGGUUUAGUGGAGGGUUGUUGGCGUGCCGGGGUUGUCUGGGGCCCCGUUAAAAAACCGGGCAAAACACUAAUUGGCGAAUUUAACUACGCCAUGGCAGCCUAGAAAUAGCGCAGCCCGUUGUACCUGAACCGUUGUCUCUCGGGUCAGACUACAGCGUCGCAAAAGGAGACUCGGCUUUUCGACGCCUUUAAGGGAAGCUUAAAUAUAAAGGCUGGCUCUGCCAGUGGCCUGUUGGUCGGCAGCUUGCAGAGCGAGAAAUUAUAGAUCAACUAUGCACGUAGAAAGCAGCCAGACGUUAGAUUCGGACGGGGGUUCGAUUCCCCCCACCUCCAUUU
rnacentral:tmRNA from 1 species